UGGGGAAUAUUGGACAAUGGGCGCAAGCCUGAUCCAGCCAUGCCGCGUGAGUGACGAAGGUCUUCGGAUUGUAAAGCUCUUUUUGCCAGGGACGAUAAUGACGGUACCUGGAGAAUAAGCCCCGGCUAACUUCGUGCCAGCAGCCGCGGUAAUACGAAGGGGGCUAGCGUUGUUCGGAAUUACUGGGCGUAAAGCGCACGUAGGCGGAUUGUUAAGUCAGAGGUGAAAUCCCGGAGCUCAACUUCGGAACUGCCUUUGAUACUGGCAAUCUAGAGUCCGGAAGAGGUUAGUGGAAUUCCCAGUGUAGAGGUGAAAUUCGUAGAUAUUGGGAAGAACACCAGUGGCGAAGGCGGCUAACUGGUCCGGUACUGACGCUGAGGUGCGAAAGCGUGGGGAGCAAACAGGAUUAGAUACCCCAGUAGUCCCUGAGCGGGCUGGCAAGGCGCAU
rnacentral:rRNA from 1 species